AUUGAACGCUGGCGGCAUGCCUUACACAUGCAAGUCGAACGGCAGCACGGGUGCUUGCACCUGGUGGCGAGUGGCGAACGGGUGAGUAAUACAUCGGAACAUGUCCUGUAGUGGGGGAUAGCCCGGCGAAAGCCGGAUUAAUACCGCAUACGAUCCACGGAUGAAAGCGGGGGACCUUCGGGCCUCGCGCUAUAGGGGUGGCCGAUGGCUGAUUAGCUAGUGGGUGGGGUAAAGGCCUACCAAGGCGACGAUCAGUAGCUGGUCUGAGAGGACGACCAGCCACACUGGGACUGAGACACGGCCCAGACUCCUACGGGAGGCAGCAGUGGGGAAUGUUGGACAAUGGGCGAAAGCCUGAUCCAGCAAUGCCGCGUGUGUGAAGAAGGCCUUCGGGUUGUAAAGCACUUUUGUGCGGAAAGAAAUCCUUGACUCUAAUACAGUCGGGGGAUGACGGUACCGGAAGAAUAAGCACCGGCUAACUACGUG
rnacentral:rRNA from 1 species